GACGAACGCUGGCGGCGUGCUUAACACAUGCAAGUCGAACGAAGAGCGAUGGAAGCUUGCUUCUAUCAAUCUUAGUGGCGAACGGGUGAGUAACGCGUAAUCAACCUGCCCUUCAGAGGGGGACAACAGUUGGAAACGACUGCUCAUACCGCAUACGCUCUAAUCUCGGCAUCGAGGAUAGAUGAAAGGUGGCCUCUACAUGUAAGCUAUCACUGAAGGAGGGGAUUGGGUCUGAUUAGCUAGUUGGAGGGGGAACGGCCCCCGAAGGCGAUGUUCAGUAGCCGGUCUGAGAUGAUGAGCGGCCACAUUGGGACUGAGACACGGCCCAGACUCCUACGGGAGGCAGCAGUGGGGAAUCGUCCGCAAGAGACGAAAGUCUGACGGAGCAACGCCGCGUGAGUGAUGACGGCCUUCGGGUUGUAAAGCUCUGUUAAUCGGGACGAAAGGCCUUCUUGCGAAUAGUGAGAAGGAUUGACGGUACCGGAAUAGAAAGCCACGGCUAACUACGUG
rnacentral:rRNA from 1 species